rnacentral:rRNA from 1 species
GACAGAGGAUGCAAGCGUUAUCCGGAAUGAUUGGGCGUAAAGCGUCUGUAGGUGGCUUUUUAAGUCUGCCGUCAAAUCCCAGGGCUUAACCCUGGACAGGCGGUGGAAACUACCAAGCUGGAGUACGGUAGGGGCAGAGGGAAUUUCCGGUGGAGCGGUGAAAUGCGUAGAGAUCGGAAAGAACACCGGUGGCGAAAGCGCUCUGCUGGGCCGCAACUGACACUAAUGGACGAAAGCUAGGGGAGCGAAUGGG